AUUCGGAGUUUCUGAGUCCAGCAGUGGAGACUACAUUUGUAAGAAUCGACGUGACCGAUAUUCUUCAACAGAGUGGAGUGAAGCCAUCACAUUGUCAGUAUCAAAUCAACCAAAGGCUCAAAUAACGUCUGAUAUGAGACACGUUCCAGUAGGGGGCAAUAUGACCCUGAAAUGUUCAGUGAACCCAUCAUCAUAUGGAUGGAAAUACUACUGGUACAGAGAUGAGAACUGGUCUGAACCCCUGACCACACAAGAUGCAGUUUUCCACUCAAAUGGACAAAUCACAGUCUCACAGGAAGGACUCUACAGAUGCAGAGGAGGCAGAGGAGACCCAGUUUACUACACAGAGGACAGUGAGCCCUUCAACAUUGAUAAAAUGCUACGUCCAGUUCUUCAUUUCUUGUUCUGAUGAUCACGGGACUCAUUUCUGGAAUCAUAUUUAUUUUCCUCCUGUUCCUGUUCCUGUACAAAAAGAAAUGUUCUGCUGAUGACCCGAGGGUGAGUCAGGAUGAAAAUCAACAGCAAGUCUACUCCUCUCUUCUUCAUGGUGAGGAUUCUGUCUAUGAAACAAUCAGAGACUCUGGAAAUACUCAAAAUGCUGGGUGACCUGUGUGAUGUAGGUCCAGUGGGUCCUUCUUGUGGAAACUCAACGAUUCUUUCUAUCCAAAGUGGGCGAACUAUGAGAAGUGACAGUAGUUUGAUCAUCUCCUUUCCUCAUAACUGAAAACUUAUUCUCACUCUCAACCAUCAGACCUUUGUCAGGUCCCAUUCACUCAUAUUUGCCACCAUUCACGGACCAUCAAGUUGCAAACUAUGGGCACAAAUAUACAUUAACCUUUUCGAGUAAAGUAUUUAGUUUUAACGUUUAGCUAAACAUCCGAAAUAUGUUUUAAAAAUGUUUCUCUGAUGUUUUGUUUAUAUAUUAUUUAUGUUUUAAUUUCUCACUAAUGUAAAAAAAAGUCCAUAUCCAAAAAUGACCAUGCAAACGUUAAAUAUAAGUGAGGCAACUCUCUAAAAGGUUCAUUAAUUACAUUACCUG